rnacentral:rRNA from 1 species
UACGGAGGGGGCGAGCGUUAUUCGGAAUUAUUGGGCGUAAAGGGCGCGUAGGCGGCCCGGUAAGUCAAAGGUGAAAUCCCUCGGCUCAACUGAGGAACUGCCUUUGAAACUGUCGGGCUUGAGGCCGGGAGGGGGUGGCGGAAUUCCCAGUGUAGCGGUGAAAUGCGUAGAUAUUGGGAGGAACACCAGUGGCGAAGGCGGCCACCUGGACCGGUUCUGACGCUGAUGCGCGAAAGCGUGGGGAGCAAACAGG